rnacentral:misc_RNA from 1 species
AACGCACCUUGCGCUCCUUGGUAUUCCGAGGAGCAUGUCUGUUCGAGUGUUAUGAAAAUUUCAACCCACCCUUUCUCAGUAAAGGGACUGGUGUUUGGUUCGUGGGCGUUCGUGCCGGCUGUUUUCAGCAAGGCUCGCCUGAAAUUUAUGAGCAGUGUCGUCUUUAGAAACUUGGCUUGACUUGGCGUAAUAAAUAUUCCGCUGAGGACAACCUCGACAGAGGUUGGCCAGUUCUUUAGAGGAGGGCUUCCAAUGAAACAAUCUAUUCAAACUCUUUGACCUCGAAUCAGAUAGGACUACCCGCUGAACUUAA